rnacentral:rRNA from 1 species
UACGUAGGGUGCAAGCGUUAAUCGGAAUACUGGGCGUAAAGCGUGCGCAGGCGGCUUUGCAAGACAGAUGUGAAAUCCCCGGGCUUAACCUGGGAACUGCAUUUGUGACUGCAUCGCUGGAGUGCGGCAGAGGGGGAUGGAAUUCCGCGUGUAGCAGUGAAAUGCGUAGAUAUGCGGAGGAACACCGAUGGCGAAGGCAAUCCCCUGGGCCUGCACUGACGCUCAUGCACGAAAGCGUGGGGAGCAAACAGG